UCGUAAUUAAAAGACGGUCCCUGAUCAAAUGACUUUCAUUGCAAAAGACAAAUCUUAAAUUUAAACUGCAUUUGUUUACAAUUUAUUUAUUUUUCAACUAGUUAAAUUAAAUUAUUUCGUGUUUUUUCACAAUUCUAGAAUUUAUCAAUAAUGGCCGGUGGAGGUGAACAUGUUGAUGAAUCCCAAUUUACUGGAAUUUCAAAAUAUUUCAAUUCCUAUACCAAUACUGGACGUCGAAACUGUUCGAUUCUUACUCUUAGUGUCACAGCUGGUCUGAUACUUUAUUUCACUAAAUUUAGGAAAUCAGGAAAACAAGAAGCCAAGAAAUAACUGGUUCUGUCUCACAUGGAUCACAAUUUCGAUGGGUUUGUUAGUUAGCUAUCAUAACUUCUUAUGGUUAGCAUUAGCAUGAUAAGCAUGCAAAGAUUUUUUGUUUUUCUUGAUUAACCUAAUAGAAAUAUGUUCAUUCAUUUUGAAUGUUAUAGAGAUUCUUAAUAAACGUUCUGUCAUCCCUUGGCUAA